AUUGAACGCUGGCGGCAGGCCUAACACAUGCAAGUCGAGCGGUAACAGGAAACAGCUUGCUGUUUCGCUGACGAGUGGCGGACGGGUGAGUAAUGUCUGGGAAACUGCCUGAUGGAGGGGGAUAACUACUGGAAACGGUAGCUAAUACCGCAUAACGUCGCAAGACCAAAGAGGGGGACCUUCGGGCCUCUUGCCAUCGGAUGUGCCCAGAUGGGAUUAGCUAGUAGGUGGGGUAACGGCUCACCUAGGCGACGAUCCCUAGCUGGUCUGAGAGGAUGACCAGCCACACUGGAACUGAGACACGGUCCAGACUCCUACGGGAGGCAGCAGUGGGGAAUAUUGCACAAUGGGCGCAAGCCUGAUGCAGCCAUGCCGCGUGUAUGAAGAAGGCCUUCGGGUUGUAAAGUACUUUCAGCGGGGAGGAAGGGAGUAAAGUUAAUACCUUUGCUCAUUGACGUUACCCGCAGAAGAAGCACCGGCUAACUCCGUG
rnacentral:rRNA from 1 species